rnacentral:lncRNA from 1 species
ACAAACUACAGUGGAAACACUGAUGCUUUGAGAGUGUAAGGAAAGAAGUUAGACUUCAACUCUGAAGUACUGAACAAGGAUCUUCGUGAUGAAUGGAAGACAGAUUUCUGGAGGAGUGUGAAAAUCAACUCUCCUUAAUAUUAAGGUGAUCUCAAUGUAUCUUAAAUUAUCUAAUCAUUGUACUUAUUUUGUUUUUUUAGAUUAUAGAAAAAUCAUUUCAGGAGAGUUGUAAUACUAUUUAGAAGUUUGCUUUGUUUUAGGCUACCUCUGUUUAGAAAAGGAUGAGAUGUAACAAUAGUGUACGUUUG